CCGACCGCGACCCCAGGUCAGGCGGGACUACCCGCUGAAUUUAAGCAUAUCAAUAAGCGAAGGA
rnacentral:rRNA from 1 species